AAGACUAUAGACCUGCGGAGUACCUGCGGAGGGAUCAUUACUGAGUGGUCUGCUCAACACCCCGAACCUAUCCUUGUUGCUUCGGCGGGUGCUCCCCUGUGGGCGCCCGCCAGAGGCCUGUCUGCUCCUGUAUUUUUAGUGGCACUCUGAGGUUGGCGAAUCGUUAAAACUUUUAACAACGGAUCUCU
rnacentral:misc_RNA from 1 species